GGGGUAUCUACCAUGCUACAUGUUUAGAAUUCAACUUUGUAUCAUUACGGUAAGUACAGUGCAAAAUCCUCUUGCAAAAAGUGCUACAGUGAAGGCAUGAGAUACAAUUGUGACUCAGUCGGAGCCAGGAGAGCUAGCAAGUCUGUAACUUGCAUUUACAGCAUGUAUAAUGUGUGCACACCAAAACAACAAGUUUAAAGGGCACUUUAAAGUCUAGCUCUGACAGGUGACAUGCUGGCCCCAAAGGAGUCCUCUAAGAAACUCCCAGUUUCAUUUAGGGCUAGAAUAUCACCAGCAUGGAAGAUGCAUGUAUAAUUAGAGAGACCAAGGUAGCUCUUUCAAACAACAUUUCUUUACAGGUCCUUCCAUGAAAGCUUGCACUCCCAUCUAAAACUCCAGCUGCAGUCUUCACACAAACUCCAUCAAUGUCAGUUGUAUUAGCCCUACCACACAAGUCCAUUUAUACCAAGUGAAACCCAAGUGCAUCUGAAGAAGUUUAACAGCCAACUAAUUGCUAAUGGUACCAGAAGUCUCUUUAACAUGCCAUUGAUGUUCAGAUCCAGCUGGGGUACAGUUUGAAAGCAGAUGUCCUGCUAACACUGUGACUGAUGAGUAUUUCAGACACAGGAAGCAGAUGACUGUUAAGCCAGAGACUUGUACAGCACAAGUGUGUGCUAUGCUGCCAGUAGGGUCAGUUAAAUCAGUUUUCAGAGAGCCAGUUGACAAAAUGGAAUCCAGUAGAUUCAGCGAUUCUAGAGGAAUAAAGUUAGGCAUUUCCAUUUUCUUUCCUACCCCUCCCCUCCCACUUGCUCUGAACACGUCCCCAGUGUGUCACAUUCAGAAUGUCAGCAUUUUUAGGCCUCCUGUUUUCAUGGACUCUUCUGGGACAGUUUAAUGGUGACUGUUUUGACUUCAGUAUAUUCUGCCAAAGCAUAUUCACCAAGUUCUCUGCCAUUUCCUGACAUUUUAAAGCCACCAAAAGGAGCCUGCGCAUACAGAGCAUUGUAACAGUUGAUCCAGACAGUUCCCGACUGCAAAGCAGAAGCUAAUGUUAAUGCUCUGUCCAGAUUCUUCGUGAACACUGCAGCUGUGAGUCCAUACUCGGUAUUGUUGGCUCUUCUUAUGACCUCUUCUAUACUCUUGAACUUCAUAAUAGGCUGAACUGGCCCAAAAAUCUCUUCUUUGGCAAUGCGCAUGUUGUCGGUGACCUCUGAAAACACAGUGGGUUUUAUAAACAGGCCUCUGUCUUCAAUGGCAAGACCACCACACUCCAGCUUAGCACCUUCUUUCUUCCCACUUUCUAUCAGCUCCAGGAUCUUAUCAAACUGUUUCUGGUCAAUCUGGGGCCCUUGCUCAGUUCUGGCAUCAAAGGGGUCUCCAACAAGUCUCUUCUUGGCAUACUCCACGCUGCGCUUGACGAACUCCGGAUAUAUCUGCUCUUCCACAAACACUCGUGAGGCAGCUGUGCAGCACUGCCCCUGAUUUAAGAACACACCUUGAUGGGCACAUUCCACUGCCAAGUCCAAGUCUGCAUCUGCACACACGAUGCAGGGGUUUUUGCCUCCGAG
rnacentral:lncRNA from 1 species